CAGGCUUAACACAUGCAAGUCGAGGGGCAUCAGGAAGAAAGCUUGCUUUCUUUGCUGGCGACCGGCGCACGGGUGAGUAACACGUAUCCAACCUGCCCUUUACUCGGGGAUAGCCUUUCGAAAGAAAGAUUAAUACCCGAUAGCAUAAUGAUUCCGCAUGGUUUCAUUAUUAAAGGAUUCCGGUAAAGGAUGGGGAUGCGUUCCAUUAGGUUGUUGGUGAGGUAACGGCCCACCAAGCCUUCGAUGGAUAGGGGUUCUGAGAGGAAGGUCCCCCACAUUGGAACUGAGACACGGUCCAAACUCCUACGGGAGGCAGCAGUGAGGAAUAUUGGUCAAUGGGCGCUAGCCUGAACCAGCCAAGUAGCGUGAAGGAUGAAGGCUCUAUGGGUCGUAAACUUCUUUUAUAUAAGAAUAAAGUGCAGUAUGUAUACUGUUUUGUAUGUAUUAUAUGAAUAAGGAUCGGCUAACUCCGUGCCAGCAGCCGCGGUAAUACGGAGGAUCCGAGCGUUAUCCGGAUUUAUUGGGUUUAAAGGGAGCGUAGGUGGACUGGUAAGUCAGUUGUGAAAGUUUGCGGCUCAACCGUAAAAUUGCAGUUGAUACUGUCAGUCUUGAGUACAGUAGAGGUGGGCGGAAUUCGUGGUGUAGCGGUGAAAUGCUUAGAUAUCACGAAGAACUCCGAUUGCGAAGGCAGCUCACUGGACUGCAACUGACACUGAUGCUCGAAAGUGUGGGUAUCAAACAGGAUUAGAUACCCCUGGUAGUCCACACAGUAAACGAUGAAUACUCGCUGUUUGCGAUAUACAGUAAGCGGCCAAGCGAAAGCAUUAAGUAUUCCACCUGGGGAGUACGCCGGCAACGGUGAAACUCAAAGGAAUUGACGGGGGCCCGCACAAGCGGAGGAACAUGUGGUUUAAUUCGAUGAUACGCGAGGAACCUUACCCGGGCUUAAAUUGCAGUGGAAUGAUGUGGAAACAUGUCAGUGAGCAAUCACCGCUGUGAAGGUGCUGCAUGGUUGUCGUCAGCUCGUGCCGUGAGGUGUCGGCUUAAGUGCCAUAACGAGCGCAACCCUUAUCUUUAGUUACUAACAGGUUAUGCUGAGGACUCUAGAGAGACUGCCGUCGUAAGAUGUGAGGAAGGUGGGGAUGACGUCAAAUCAGCACGGCCCUUACGUCCGGGGCUACACACGUGUUACAAUGGGGGGGUACAGAAGGCAGCUAGCGGGUGACCGUAUGCUAAUCCCAAAAUCCUCUCUCAGUUCGGAUCGAAGUCUGCAACCCGACUUCGUGAAGCUGGAUUCGCUAGUAAUCGCGCAUCAGCCACGGCGCGGUGAAUACGUUCCCGGGCCUUGUACACACCGCCCGUCAAGCCAUGGGAGCCGGGGGUACCUGAAGUACGUAACCGCAAGGAUCGUCCUAGGGUAAAACUGGUGACUGGGGCUA
rnacentral:rRNA from 1 species